AUGAACGCUGGCGGCGUGCCUCAUACCUGCAGGUCGAGCGCACAGAUGAGGAGCUUGCUCCUCUGACGUUAGCGGCGGACGGGUGAGUAACACGUGGAUAACCUACCUAUAAGACUGGGAUAACUUCGGGAAACCGGAGCUAAUACCGGAUAAUAUAUUGAACCGCAUGGUUCAAUAGUGAAAGACGGUUUUGCUGUCACUUAUAGAUGGAUCCGCGCCGCAUUAGCUAGUUGGUAAGGUAACGGCUUACCAAGGCAACGAUGCGUAGCCGACCUGAGAGGGUGAUCGGCCACACUGGAACUGAGACACGGUCCAGACUCCUACGGGAGGCAGCAGUAGGGAAUCUUCCGCAAUGGGCGAAAGCCUGACGGAGCAACGCCGCGUGAGUGAUGAAGGUCUUCGGAUCGUAAAACUCUGUUAUUAGGGAAGAACAAAUGUGUAAGUAACUAUGCACGUCUUGACGGUACCUAAUCAGAAAGCCACGGCUAACUACGUG
rnacentral:rRNA from 1 species